UGCAUUCACUACUGUAAGUCGCUUUGGAUAACAGUGUCUGCUAAAUUACUAAAA
rfam:Salmo salar isolate Sally breed double haploid chromosome ssa01, whole genome shotgun sequence.